AUGUGGGAGGAAUGCUUGCCUCAUAUUGAAUUUGCUUAUAAUCGUUCAUUGCAUUCUACUACUAAGAUGUGCCCUUUUGAAGUUGUGUAUGGUUUCCUACCUCGUGCACCUAUUGAUUUGUUGCCUCUUCCAUCUUCGGAGAAGGUUAAUUUUGAUGCUAAACAACGUGCUGAAUUGAUUUUAAAAAUGCAUGAGUUAACUAAGGAAAACAUUGAGCGCAUGAAUGCUAAAUAUAAACUUGCUGGAGAUAAGGGUAGAAAACAUGUUCUGUUUGCACCUGGAGAUCUUGUUUGGUUACAUUUGCGUAAGGAUAGAUUUCCUGAUUUGCGCAAAUCAAAGUUAAUGCCACGUGCUGAUGGUCCCUUUAAGGUGUUAGAGAAAAUAAAUGAUAAUGCAUAUAAACUUGAGCUGCCUGCAGAUUUUGGGGUUAGUCCCACUUUUAACAUUGCAGAUUUGAAGCCUUAUUUGGGUGAGGAAGAUGAACUUCCGUCGAGGACGACUUCAUUUCAAGAAGGGGAGGAUGAUGAGGACAUCAAUACAAUUGUUACACCCACAGCCCCUGCUGCUAUACAUACUGGACCAAUUACUAGAGCUCGUGCACGCCAACUAAAUUACCAGGAAACAAACCCUCGUGGUCAGGUUGAUCGUGCUCCGGCGUGGUCAAUAACCUCUCGGAGUUGGUUUAGCGAUUGCUAA
rnacentral:rRNA from 1 species